rnacentral:rRNA from 1 species
UACGUAGGGUGCAAGCGUUGUCCGGAAUUAUUGGGCGUAAAGAGCUCGUAGGCGGUCUGUCGCGUCGGCUGUGAAAACCCGGAGCUCAACUCCGGGCCUGCAGUCGAUACGGGCAGGCUGGAGGCAGGCAGGGGAGAACGGAAUUCCCGGUGUAGCGGUGAAAUGCGCAGAUAUCGGGAGGAACACCGGUGGCGAAGGCGGUUCUCUGGGCCUGUACUGACGCUGAGGAGCGAAAGCGUGGGGAGCGAACAGG